rnacentral:rRNA from 1 species
CCCUUAGAUGUCCGGGGCCGCACGCGCGCUACACUGAAGGAAUCAGCGUGGCUCUGUCCCUGGUCCGAAAGGAUUGGGAAACCCGUUGAAUCUCCUUCGUGAUAGGGAUUGGGGCUUGGAACUGUUCCCCAUGAACGAGGAAUUCCCAGUAAGCGCGAGUCAUAAGCUCGCGUUGAUUACGUCCCUGCCCUUUGUACACACCGCCCGUCGCUACUACCGAUUGAAUGGUCCGGUGAAAUUCUCGGACGCGGACUAGCGAUGUUAAUUCGGAGCUUGACUGUGAAAGUUAAUUAAACCUUACCAUUUAGAGGAAGGUGAAGUCGUAACA